GUAUAUAGCCAUACCACCCUUAACAUGCCCAAUCUCGUCUGAUCUCGGAAGCUAAACAGAGUCAGGCCUGGAUAGUACUUGGAUGGGAGAAUAAGCCAGAGGACCUGAAAUAUUUGAG
rnacentral:rRNA from 1 species